GGGGAAAAACAGGGAUUUCUAUGAAAAUAAGCGAUAUUUAUGGGGAAAAACAGGGAUUUCUAUGAAAAUAAGCGAUAUUUCAGGUUAAAAACAGGGAUUUCUAGGAAAAUAAGCGAUAUUUCAGGGGAAAAACAGGGAUUUCUAUGAAAAUAAGCGAUAUUUCAGGUUAAAAACAGGGAUUUCUAUGAAAAUAAGCGAUAUUUCAGGUUAAAAACAGGGAUUUCUAUGAAAAUAAGCGAUAUUUCAGGUUAAAAACAGGGAUUUCUAUGAAAAUAAGUGAUAUUUCAGGUUAAAAACAGGGAUUUCUAUGAAAAUAAGCGAUAUAUAAGGUUUAAAACAGGGAUUUCUAUGAAAAUAAGCGAUAUUUCAGGUGAAAAACAGGGAUUUCUAUGAAAAUAAGCGAUAUUUCAGGUGAAAAACAGGGAUUUCUAUGGAAAUAAGCGAUAUUUCAGGUUAAAAACAGGGAUUUCUAGGAAAAUAAGCGAUAUUUAAGGUGAAAAACAGGGAUUUCUAUGAAAAUAAGCGAUAUUUCAGGUUAAAAACAGGGAUUUCUAUGAAAAUAAGCGAUAUUUAAGGGGAAAAACAGGGAUUUCUAUGAAAAUAAGCGAUAUUUAAGGUUAAAAACAGGGAUUUCUGUGAAAAUAAGCGAUAUUUCAGGUUAAAAACAGGGAUUUCUAGGAAAAUAAGCGAUAUUUCGGGUUAAAAACAGGGAUUUCUAGGAAAAUAAGCGAUAUUUAAGGUGAAAAACAGGGAUUUCUAUGAAAAUAAGCGAUAUUUAAGGGGAAAAACAGGGAUUUCUCUGAAAAUAAGUGAUAUUUAAGGUGAAAAACAGGGAUUUCUAUGAAAAUAAGCGAUAUUUCAGGGGAAAAACAGGGAUUUCUAUUAAAAUAAGCGAUAUUUCAGGGGAAAAACAGGGAUUUCUAUGAAAAUCAGCGAUAUUUAAGGGGAAAACCAGGGAUUUCUAUGAAAAUAAGCGAUAUUUAAGGUUCAAGGCAGGGAUUUCUAUGAAA